rnacentral:lncRNA from 1 species
UUCUCCGACUAACUAUGUCGAUACAUCCAAAGGAAAGCCUUAAGGCUCAAUCCUAUAACCCAAAUUAUUGCCCCUUCUCUCAAACUAAAGUCCUCUUCUCUCUUUCACUUUGAACACAGCGACAAACUUCCCCAAAUCAGGUGCUCACUCCAAAUCCCUAAAGGACAAAUCCAACACCAGUGAACUUUGCUUUGUAAGUUUUUUACGCCCUUUUUAAUCUUUUCCUACUAUCCUUGAUUGUGUAAUUUUCUGUUCUUCAAUUAUUUAGAGCAUUACUCCCAUUCGAUAUCCUAAAUCAUGGUUUCUUUCAAGAGUUGGGAAGCGACCAAUGAUUAAUAAGUAAUAAACUCUACAUUAUUUUUUGUGAAGCUUCCUUUUGCUUCACCAUGUUGACUAGGGGUUUGAUGAAAAACCAACGCCCAAGGAAAAGGAAGAGAGUAUUUGAUUAAGAGUGUUAUUAUAUAUUGGGACAAAUCUAAAGAAGGAGAGGAAUUUCAAAUAUCUUUUUUAAUCUUUUCUUACUUUCCUAGAUUGUGUCAAUUUUUGUUCUUCAAUUAAACCUUAUAAGAUCUUUUUAUUUUUGUCCAUUCUUUUCUCUAGUUUGUGUGGGCUUUGAGACUUUUGGUCAUAAGCAGUUGGCUUUCUAUGAAUUCUCUUGUUGUUAUUGUAUUCUGACUUAUUCAUUUUUGCAGGAUUUUGGUAUAGUGAUGUUUUACAGCUAUCGAUGCUUGAAUUGAUAUAGAACUGAGGUUUGGAAAGUCGCUGGAAAAUAACAAUAUUUUCCAUUGAGGCAGUCAAGGCUGUUUGUGUUUUUCUUAGCAUAUGCUCUCAUCUUUCCAAUGAAAAAUUACAAAAACUAUAUUACAUGAAUAUGGAAAACUAUAUUUAUAUAGCUUUAUAGAAAAUUCUUCAAUGAAUUACAAUUUCUAUAUGAUUUCUUACGCAUAUUUUUGUUAUCUCUAUUGUUUAUUAAUGUUGUAUUGCAUUUUAUAUAGAUGGAUUAGAGAUAGUGAUAUUUAUUUGCCAGGUGAAUGGCUGAUUGAUGACAUCUAUACCCUUAUAAAAUUGAUGGCCGGCCAUUUAUGUAGUUCUUUGGAUUCCCAACAAUAUGUGUAAAUGGAUCUGGAUAAGUUCUUCAAAUUAUUGGAUGUGUGACUGUAUGAGUACCUUGAUUCAUAUUCGACUGAUCUGCUCUUUUUGUGUAUAUGCAUGGUAGAAUUUAGCAGUUAUAUGGUAAUAUCCAUAGCUUUGAAUACAG